GGAAAUUAUUAAUUUUCAAGGAAUCAAGCCAUUAAAGGUGAUGAGCAUUCUGGCAAGAGUAAAGAGGUAGUAUCUGAGGAUCCAGAAUCAGAGUAUCCCGAAUUCGAUUCCCAUUACAGCUCAAGAUAGUUGGUAGAUAGCUCAUUUCGUUGAGGGCUA